CACCCCUUGAAACUUUUUGCCCUCAUAAUCUCUCUUCUCCCUAUCGUCGCUACUUCCUUCCAACUUCAAGAUGUUGUCUCGCUGUCUUCAACGUUCAAGCCGAAGCUUCUCCGUGAUUGUGUGCUCGCAUACUCGAAAGCCGGAGCUUCUUUGUGCUCGCUUGCUUGCCGUCUCUUCUGUGCCAUGUCGUGACAAGCUCUUCAUCUAGACCUCUCAUCAAGUCAUGACUAACAAGUUGGGAGGAAUGAAUCUAUCUCUCUGUGCUCGCUCUUUUGUCUCUUAUGCUUGGGUUUUUAUCGUCGGGUGUUUUCUUCUUCUUCUAGGUUUUUGGAGAUUUGUGUCCUUCAAAUCCCUAAUUUGAGUUUUUUAAAUUUUCUUUUUAAAUUUUGAUUUUGCUGUUUAUCUGACCUGUUCCAUGCGAUUUUGAAAUUGUGCAGAUGCAUCCGGCUUCUCUGAAUCCCACUGUUAUAACGCAGACCUGCGUUUCACUAUGUUUCCUUUCUAUUUCUCAUCCUCCUACAUCCUCGUGAAGUCUCUGGUUUUCUUCUACUUGUUGGUUUCAUGAUAUAAAAACAAAAGAGAAGAUUAAAGUGGCAUCCAAUGCGUUUCAAGAGUUUAAAUCUUUGGAAUAUUGAUUAAAUCAAUAUGUUUUGAAGCUACAAUCGAAGCAUUCUAUUUUGAAUUCUAUUCUCGCCUUUUCAAGAGAUUUGUAUUAUGAAUAUGUACUUGUAUCUUCCUUACUUGAAAGAAAAGCUUCUCUGUAUCUGAUAAUAGUUUUUUGCUUUAUUGCUUACCUACAAAUGUGUAUGUGCAUGAUAAAAGCCUCUCUUAAACCAUGCAGAAAAAAUAUGCACUAUGAAAUUGGACUUCUUAUGUCAUUUUAUUCCAAUUUAAGAUUAUGUACUUCAAGGAUUCAACACAAUGAUGCAUAUACACUGCCUGAAAUUAUCAACUGUGCUGAUCAGAGCUUUUUUAUUUAUAAUUGUGGCACUUAAUUCUUGAUUAUCACUUGUGGAGUUCAGCAUCCCUGAUCCUAAUUGCUUAAAUCACUAUUGCGAGGUGUAUGAUGAAGCAAUUUCAUACUAUGCUCAACUAAUGGAAUGAAACGAAAGAAAAAUAUAACAAAGAAAGGAAAACAGAUCUUUAAUCCAGGCCAGUCUAUUAGUAUUAUUAUUAUUAUAUGUACCUUGUACUUAAUCUUCACUAAUAGCUGUUGAAUCCUUGGCUAUGUUUAUCUGGCUUUGCUCAUAUUAUUCUGUAAUUUUGCAUGUUAGGAUAACUGGAUUGGGCAGAAAAAUCAAAUAAAUGCUGAUAUCCCCUUCUAUACUAGUGAAAGCCUACGAUGUCAUUGUCCUUAUGUUGCACUUGGUGCACAUAAGCAUGCCGCCCUCAUGGGAGCAUUUCCUGUCAUUCUAUGCCUCUAUGUUGUGGCUAGAAUUGUAGAAACUAAAGUGAAGAGCCUUACCGUCCCAUUCUUGAAAGGUUUGUUUCCCUCAUCGGAGCUCUUGCCGUUUUGCUGCUUCUUUCAACCUUAUUAGCGCCAUGGCUCGCUAUCAUUUAACCAUCCUAUAUAUGGAGUCUACUUACGGUGAGAGCAGCAAUCAGGUCAUACCGAGAGAUCUUAAAAGCAGUGGCGAACCUGGCAAAAAGUGCAUGCAAGACAUGUCAUAAGCUUCACUUGUUAUUUUUUUUCCACUUACUUUAACAUUUUGGCCCUUAAGCUUCAACAUUGUACUUCUUUGUUCCCCCAAUAAUGUACGGUCUUGUGUCCGCCAUUGCUUGAUCCGGUAUUCUCAAGUUCAAGUCACUCCAUGGAGGACAAUGGCAAUGGCUUCUCUGUGUAAUCUGAAAUACAAUUUAACUGUGAGACAGAAUAGAAAAUAGAAUAUGUGCCAAGUAGGGUUUGCCACUGUGCCUCUCUUUUCACUAUUGCUCCAAAA